UACGUAGGGGGCUAGCGUUGUCCGGAAUCAUUGGGCGUAAAGAGCGUGUAGGCGGCCCGGUAAGUCCGCUGUGAAAGUCGGGGGCUCAACCCUCGAAUGCCGGUGGAUACUGUCGGGCUAGAGUGCGGAAGAGGCGAGUGGAAUUCCUGGUGUAGCGGUGAAAUGCGCAGACUAUCAGGAGGAACACCGAUUGCGAAGGCAGCUCGCUGGGACGUAACUGACGC
rnacentral:rRNA from 1 species